AACAGAGGCAACAAUAAUAUUUGCCCCAAAUUCAUUAAGAACCCUAAUUUCUCUUCUUCUUCUUUUUUUCUCAUCUCUCUCAUCUUCAAUCAAGCCAAGAUUUGAAAUUCCUUAAAAAAUUAAGACCUUUACUUCAUUAUAAGCACAUCAUGAGAUCAAUUAACUUGAAUAAGAUUUGUAUGGGGAAGGAAGAUUUUGCUUUGAACCAAGAGGUUCGAUGCAAUCAUGAAUUUGUGGUGCCUUUGAAGACAUCUUGGAAUUCGAUAAAUUUCGGUAGAAGAUAUUGGACAUGUAAUUACUAUGGGGGUUCAAGAUCUUACAAUUUUUGGUAUUGGGAGGAUAAAGAAAAUAAUACAGAUUCGAGGUCCAAAUUUGUAAUUCAUAAAUGGAUCGAAAAAUUAGGCGAGCUUGAGAAUUUAAUGGAAUCAUUUCAAUAUAACAAGUCUACAACAUUCAAUGAAGUUGAAAAAUUAAUUGCAAAAACUUCUGAAGAAGUCAGAAGUUGACAAGCCUAGAGUAUACAAAGAAGAUGAUAAUUAUGAAGAUAUGAAAUUGAAAAAGCUAGAAGAAGAGAUUGAACAGAUGAAAGAAAGAGAGAAGAAGUGGAGAAGUAACAUGGCUAAAGGAAGGACUAAGGAUAAUGCCCUCUUUUUCAUCGUGGUCUGUUGUUGUUAUAGCUACUAGCUAUUGGUUUGAAAUGAUCUACGUAAAGAACGACUCAAUAAAAUUAUCUAAGAAUUUGGUGUUGUUAGUUGGUAUAAUCGUGUGUAUCAUCCUUUAUUUUGAAAUGAAUUUGAUCUUUUGUAAUUAUUCUUGACUUA